AUCAAGCCAUGCAAAUAUUUUGGAGCCCAUAUUCCAAAUAUUUGGAAAUAGCAAGUGCGAAGGUUUGAGUGGGAGUGUGCCUGUUUUGUAGAAAGAGUAGCAAGGAGAUCAGUGUGGCUUCAUCAUGGUGAGUGAAGGGAGAUAAUGUCAGAGAAAUGACGGGAGAAAAGAUCACAAAGGGCCUUGGAAGCCAUUGUGAUAACUCCCUUUUACCUGGUGUAUGAUGGAAAGAUUUUGAGCAGGCCAGCAACUAUAUUGUGAUAGAAUUACUUUGGUUACUGCAUUGGGAGUGUUGAGAACAGACUAAAGAGUAAAAGUAGAGACAAGGAGCUCAUUUAGCAGGCUGGUGAAGUAAUUCAGUUGAAAUGACAGUCAUCUGGAUCAGGGCAGUACUUGUGGAGUUUUCGUGAAGUUGAGGUCUUUUGUUUUUAAGUUAGGCAACAGAAUUUCCUGAUGGACAGGUUGUGAGUUUGAGAAAAACGGAGCAGCCAAGGAUGACUCCAAGGUUCUGCCUGAGCAAGGAACGAUGAAGGGCCUAUUAAAUGAGCUGAGGGAGAUUGUGACUGGCACGUGUUUUGAGGGGAAGAUCAGGAAUUCAUUUUUGGACACGUAAAGUUUGGGGGGGCCUAUUAACCGUCUUAAAUAGAGAUGCCAAGUAGGCAGUUGUAUUUAUGAGUCUGGAGUCCAUGGGAGGGGUUAUAAACUUGAGAGUCACCAGGAUCAAGAUGUAAAACUGGAUGACAGCACCGAGAGAUGAAGUGUAAACAGAAGGGAGAAGCAGUCCAAGGACCAUGCCCUGGGGCUCUCCAGUGCUUAACACUAAGAGAGCUGAGAAGGAACCCCAGGAAGGACUCCCAAGUGAUGGGUUUGGUGGAUGCUUUUUAGGAGCAUCGAUAUCUCACACUGAGUUGUAAGUUUUCUUCUUCAUUGUAACUCCCUCCAUUUAUGCCCGCUUAACACUUCAACAUUAUGCUAGCUGCUCUUGGGAGUGAAGGGAGUACUGUAUCCAUAUUGGGGGACAAUGCCUGGCGGAGAAAAUGGGUACGGCCUGGAGACUUAAGUUUUUAAAAGUGGCUCAAAUGUCUGAAAAAAUGGGUGACAUUGAAAUUUCUUUAUAAGGAAAUGUGUUUUAGGUAAUUUUCUAAAGUUUGUCAGAUCCAUUUUCGUCAUACAAGAAUGAAAACUGCAUAAUUUUCCCUGAGGGAUUUUAUUCAUGUUACUUAAUGUCGGAACUGUGCUUCCUAUUUAACUUCCCUCCCUCCUCACCGCACACACAGGUGCUCAGGGGAACUUUCUGACAUUUUCUCCUAGUGUGGGCUAGUUUAAUCUCUUGAUUGUAAGUGAUGGAACUCAACUUUGCUUUAG
rnacentral:lncRNA from 1 species